CCUACGGGAGGCAGCAGUGAGGAAUAUUGGUCAAUGGUCGGGAGACUGAACCAGCCAAGCCGCGUGAGGGAUGAAGGUACAGAGUAUCGUAAACCUCUUUUGUCAGGGAACAAAGGCGGGGACGUGUCCCCGGAUGAGUGUACCUGAAGAAAAAGCAUCGGCUAACUCCGUGCCAGCAGCCGCGGUAAUACGGAGGAUGCGAGCGUUAUCCGGAUUUAUGGGGUUGAAGGGGUGCGCAGGCGGUCUGUAAAGUCAGCGGUCAAAGCCCGGGGCUCAACCCCGGCCCGCCGUUGAAACUGGCAGUCUCGAGUUGGAGAGAAGUAUGCGGAAUGCGCGGUGUAGUGGUGAAAUGCAUAGAUAUCGCGCAGAACUCCGAUUGCGAAGGCAGCAUGCCGGCUCCACACUGACGCUGAGGCACGAAAGCGUGGGUAUCGAACAGGAUUAGAUACCCUUGUAGUC
rnacentral:rRNA from 1 species